rnacentral:rRNA from 1 species
CACGUAGGGGACGAGCGUUGUCCGGAUUUAUUGGGCGUAAAGAGCUCGUAGGCGGCUUGUCGCGUCGACCGUGAAAACUUGGGGCUCAACCCCAAGCCUGCGGUCGAUACGGGCAGGCUCGAGUUCGGUAGGGGAGACUGGAAUUCCUGGUGUAGCGGUGAAAUGCGCAGAUAUCAGGAGGAACACCGAUGGCGAAGGCAGGUCUCUGGGCCGAUACUGACGCUGAGGAGCGAAAGCGUGGGGAGCGAACAGG